AACGAACGCUGGCGGCAUGCCUAACACAUGCAAGUCGAACGAGACCUUCGGGUCUAGUGGCGCACGGGUGCGUAACGCGUGGGAACCUGCCCUUAGGUUCGGAAUAACUCCCCGAAAGGGGUGCUAAUACCGGAUAAUGUCUUCGGACCAAAGAUUUAUCGCCUUUGGAUGGGCCCGCGUUGGAUUAGCUAGUUGGUAGGGUAAAAGCCUACCAAGGCGACGAUCCAUAGCUGGUCUGAGAGGAUGAUCAGCCACACUGGGACUGAGACACGGCCCAGACUCCUACGGGAGGCAGCAGUGGGGAAUAGUGGACAGUGGGCGAAAGCCUGAUCCAGCAAGGCCGCGUGAGCGAUGAAGGCCUUAGGGUUGUAAAGCUCUUUUACCCGGGAUGAUAAUGACAGUACCGGGAGAAUAAGCUCCGGCUAACUCCGUG
rnacentral:rRNA from 1 species